CAGAUCAAAACUCCAGAAAAAGAGCUAAAUGAAAUGGAGAUAAGUAAUUUAUCUUUCAAAACACUGGUUAUAAAGGUGCUCGAGGAACUUCGUGAGGGCCUCAACAGCAUAAGAACGAUCCAGUCAGAAAUGAUGGAUUUGUUCAUUGAAAUAAGGAUGACAGACUUCUUUCCAGAAGGAAUAAAUAUACAAUUGGGUUGUGUAACAUUAUAAAGGUAUUUAAAGAACCUCCCCCCCAAACCUCUCAACCUGAAAUUUUAUGCCCGGUGAAACUAUCUUUUAAAAAUCAAGACAUACUACUCUCCAACAUAUAGAAGCUGAAAGUUUUUUUUUUGCCAGUAGAAGAAAUGUUAGAGGUGGUCAUCCAGGUACAAGGAAAAUAAUGCUAGAUGGAAAUAUGGAUCUACACAAAGGAAUGAAAAGAUAUGGAAAUGAUAGAGAAGAUUUUUUCAUAUAUAUGUAUAUUUAUAUCAAGAUAAUUAUUUAAGCCAAAAGAAUAACUGUGUUGUGGGGUUUAUAAGAUAUAUGUAAAUAAAACGUGAUGGCAAUAGCCUAAAACCAAGUGGAGAAAAAUAUAGGUGUACUAAUGUCAAAUUGUUAUACCUGAAAUGUUGUAAUAUCACUUGAAGGUAGGCUGGGAUAAAUUAAAGGUAUAUUUUUUAAGCUCUAAAGCAACUACUAAAAUAACCAAAGUUUUACUAGUAAGCCAGUGAAGAGAUAAAGUGGAAUCAUAAAAAAAAAUAGUUGAAAAGAAGGAAUGGGAACAAAGGACAGAUGAGACAAAUAGAAGUAUAUAGUAAGGUGGUAGACUUAAACCUAACCACAUUUGUGAUCACUUUAAAUGUAAAUGUGUAAGCACUCCAAUGAAAGAUUAUUGGAUUGGAUAAAAAAAGCAAUAUCCAAUGAUUUGCUGUCUACAACAAACUCACUUUAAAUAUAGAGGCGCAACUAGAUUAAAGGUAAAAGGAUGGAAAAAGAUAUACCAUGUGAGUAAAAAAAUGAAAUGACUAUAUUAAUAUCAGACAAAGUAGAUUUUAGAACAUAAAAUAUCUCAGAAUAAAGAUCAUUUGAUGAUAAGGGAGUUAAUUCAAGUGCAUACUUAUUAACAUGCAUGUAAUAACUAUGAAAAUUAGUGAAGCAAAGGACUGCAAGGAGAAAUAGUCAUAAUCAUAGGUAAAGAUUUCAGUACCUCUCUCAAUAAUGGAAUAGGUAGAUAGAAAAUCAGUAAGGGUAGAGAAGACCUGAACAGUACUGUCAACCAACCUGAUCUCAUUGACAUUUCUAGAACACUGUAGUAAAUAAGCAGAGAUUGAUAUCUUUAGAACACUCAUCCAUUAACAGCAGAGUAUGUUCAUUUCAAGUGCAUAUGAAACAUUUGCAAAGAUAGACCAUAUUCUGCAUCCUAAAAUAGUCUCAAUAUAUUUAAAAGAAUUGAUGUCAUAUAAAGUAUGUUCUCUGACUACUUUAAAUUCGAAGUCAUUAACAAAGAUACAAAAAAUUCUCUGUAUUUGGAAACUAAUAACACUUCUAAGGAGCACAUGGACCAUAGAAGAAAUCAAAGGGAAAUUAGAAAGUAUGUUGAGAAAAUAAGUAUGCUGAACAGAAUGAAAUGGCAUCACAACAGAAUCUGUGGGAUGCUGCUAAAGCAGUAUUAAGGGGAAAAGUCUAGCACUAAAAACCUAUAUUAAAAAUAAAGGUCUUAAAUCAGUGGCCUCACCUUAUGAAACAAA